rnacentral:rRNA from 1 species
CCUACGGGAGUCAGCAGUGAGGAAUAUUGGUCAAUGGGCUUACGCCUGAACCAGCCAAGUCGCGUGAGGGAAGACUGCCCUAUGGGUUGUAAACCUCUUUUGUCAGGGAGCAACGCCGGCUACGUGUAGCCGGACUGAGAGUACCUGAAGAAAAAGCAUCGGCUAACUCCGUACCAGCAGCCGCGGUAAUACGGAGGAUGCGAGCGUUAUCCGUAUUUAUUGGGUUGAAAGGGUGCGUAGGCGGAAUGCCAAGUCAGCGGUAAAAUCGCGGGGCUCAACCUCGCUCCGCCGUUGAAACUGGCGUUCUUGAGUGGGAGAGAAGUAUGCGGAAUGCGUGGUGUAGCGGUGAAAUGCAUAGAUAUCACGAAGAACUCCGAUUGCGAAGGCAGCAGACCGGCGCCCAACUGACGCUGAAGCACGAAAGCGUGGGUAUCGAACAGGAUUAGAUACCCCGGUAGUC